UGCCAGCCGCCGCGGUAAUACGGAGGGCGCAAGCGUAGUUCGGAUUUACUGGGCAUAAAGAGCACGUAGGCGGCUCGCUCAGUCAGGUGUGAAAGCCCACGGCCCAACCGUGGAACUGCACCUGAUACUGGCGAGCUUGAGGACGGAAGGGGUGAGUGGAACUCCAGGUGGAACGGUGAAAUGUAUAGAUAUCUGGAGGAACACCGGUGGCGAAAGCGGCUCACUGGUCCGUCUCUGACGCUGAGGUGCGAAAGCUAGGGUAGCGAACGGGAUUAGAUA
rnacentral:rRNA from 1 species